CCAGCCUUGGUCUCCCAAAAAUGCUGGGAUUAUAGGUGUGAACCACUGUGCCCAGCCUGAUUUUUAAGUUUCCUGUUUUUAUCCUGAGAAACUACUUUUAUCUGUUCAUAUUUUGAUUUAGUGAUUCACUUUAAAGAUCGAAUUGAGCCAGUUCUUUUGUAUGAAAGUUUUACAACAGACUUUGACCAAAACCAAUAAACUUCUGACGUUAUCUAACUCAGUACUUUAUAGAAAUAGAACUUUAUGCUUCACAAAGAGAAGUGGUAAAACAGUGUCAGGUUUGUUUAGUUGGAGGAAAAGGUAGUCUAAAACUUCUGUGUAUAUUAACCAAAUCAAGGUAAAAAGUUUAGAAGAGGAUUUAAAAAAAUAAACAUUUGGGGUGUUUAUUAUUACAAAUUAUAUAAGUAAACUUUGCAGAAAGCCUGAAAGGAAUUGGAAAUAAUGUUUCUUUGCCAUAUUUCACCUAAUAUUACCCUAGCAAAAAGAUAUUCAACGGCCAUGAAUAUCAAUAGCCUGUAGAACUUAUUAGUGUUAUUUAAGUUGGACUGUGUAUUGGUGUUAUGAGAUGUGAUUGGCAUCAAUUUUGAAGACUGUAUACUUUUACUAUUGUUAGUUAAGGUUUUAGAGACAUAAUUUGAUCUGUAGUAUCAAAUCCAUGAAAGAAGUAGUUCUAUACUUUUGUAAUUUUACUAGAAUUAUCACAUUUUAUUCAUAUUCAUUAUUGUAUCUUUUGUUGCUUCUUUCACGAUUUUAGUCUAUAUUAAUCUGUUUCGUUGUUGGAGCUUUUUUGGGAAACCCUCAACGAAGCUUCACAGAAAACUAGCUGGGACUACAGGCAUGCACCGCCAUACCUUGCUAAUUUUUUGUAUUUUUUGUAGUUACGGGGUUUUGCCAUGUUGCCCGGACUGCUCUCGAGCUUCUGGCCUCAAGAGAUUUGCCUGCCUUUGCUCCCCAAAGUGCUGAGAUUACAGGCCUGAACCAUUGCACCUGGCCACUUUCCAGUGUUAUUGACAGUAUUUUCUUAGUCUGUUAUUGUCCUCUCUACUUAAUAGAAACUAAUAUGCUUACUACAUUUUGACCAAUCAAGAGGGUUGCAUACAUUCUUUUUUUCUUUUUUUUUUUUUUUCUUUUGAGACAGAGUUUUGCUCUUGUUACCCA